rnacentral:tRNA from 1 species
GGGUCGUUAGCUCAGCGGUAGAGCACUCGGCUUUUAACCGAUUGGUCCUGGGUUCAAAUCCCAGACGACCCA